GCUAGAAGCGACGCACGCGCCCGUCGCCCGAUUGCCGACCCGCAGUAGGGGCCUUUGGCCCCCAAGGGCACGUGACGUAGGUGCAGCGACCGCGGCGGACAAGUCGCGGGCGCCUCCUUGGAGCGUAAUUCCCACCGAGCGGCGGGUAGAAUCCUUUGCAGACGACUAAAAUACGCGACGGGGUAUUGUAAGUGGCAGAGUGGCCUUGCUGCCACGAUCCACUGAGAUUCAGCCCUUUGUCGCUUCGAUUCGU
rfam:Gossypium arboreum cultivar AKA8401 contig_100087_3, whole genome shotgun sequence.